UGCCUAACACAUGCAAGUCGUACGAGAGUUUUUAACUCAAGUGGCGGACGGGUGAGUAACACGUGAGAAUUUACCUUUAGGAGGGGGAUAACAGAGUGAAAACGCUGCUAAUACCCCAUAUGCUUUCGAGUGAAAUGGAUUUAUUCGCCUAAAGAGAAGCUCGCGGCUGAUUAGCUUGUUGGUAAGGUAAUGGCUUACCAAGGCGACGAUCAGUAUCUGGUUUGAGAGGACGAUCAGACACACUGGAACUGAGACACGGUCCAGACUCCUACGGGAGGCAGCAGUGG
rnacentral:rRNA from 1 species